rnacentral:rRNA from 1 species
CCUACGGGAGGCAGCAGCAAGGAAUUUUGCGCAAUGGACGAAAGUCUGACGCAGCAACGCCGCGUGGGGGAUGAAGGCCUUCGGGUUGUAAACCCCUUUUGCGAGGGAAGAAGAUCUGACGGUACCUCGCGAAUAAGCCACGGCUAACUACGUGCCAGCAGCCGCGGUAAUACGUAGGUGGCAAGCGUUGUCCGGAUUUACUGGGCGUAAAGCGCGCGCAGGCGGACUGGUUAGUCCGGGGUGAAAUCUCACGGCUCAACCGUGAGCGGUCCCCGGAUACUGCCAGCCUUGAGGGGUCUAGAGGAGAGCGGAAUUCCCGGUGUAGUGGUGGAAUGCGUAGAUAUCGGGAAGAACACCAGUGGCGAAAGCGGCUCUCUGGGGACCAUCUGACGCUGAGGCGCGAAAGCGUGGGGAGCGAACCGGAUUAGAUACCCGGGUAGUCCACGCCGUAAACGAUGAGUACUAGCUGUCGGGGGUAUCGACCCUCCGGUAGCGCAGCUACGACGAUAAGUACUCCGCCGUCGGGACGUACGACCGCGAACGUUAAACGUACAAGAAGUAGACGGCGUGAGACGUCGCCGACGGACGACGACGAGGGAGAGG